rnacentral:rRNA from 1 species
CAGUCGCCGCGGUAAUACAGAGGGUGCGAGCGUUAAUCGGAUUUACUGGGCGUAAAGCGUGCGUAGGCGGCUUCUUAAGUCGGAUGUGAAAUCCCUGAGCUUAACUUAGGAAUUGCAUUCGAUACUGGGAAGCUAGAGUAUGGUAGAGGAUGGUAGAAUUCCAGGUGUAGCGGUGAAAUGCGUAGAGAUCUGGAGGAAUACCGAUGGCGAAGGCAGCCAUCUGGCCUAAUACUGACGCUGAGGUACGAAAGCAUGGGGAGCAAACAGGAUUAGAUACCCCUGUAGUCCCUGUCUCUUAUAC